rnacentral:lncRNA from 1 species
CGGGUUUAAAAUAAUCCCCGAUCACAUAUAUUUAGUUAUCCAUGAAAUAUUCACAAAUAACCAUCAAAUUCUUACAACACAAUAAUGGAAAAUAGGGAAAGAAAAGCUUAUUGAUAAUGGAGAAAUAGUUGAGGGUUUCUUCAAUAUCAAAUCAUCAUCUUCUCCAAGCUACUUCACCAUAAUCAUGCCCCAAAUUUUCUCCAAAAUAUCUAAGGAAACCAAACUAAAAGAUGGAAGAAAAAGAAAAAGAAAAGAAAAGAAAAAGAAAGAAAGAAAGAAAAACAAAAUAAACGGCAGUGAAGAAGCUCCAGCCGCUGCCCAAAAAUUGUAGAAAAGGAAAGUCCCCAGCUUCUAGCAAUUCAGUGGGUUUUUAAGUAAAACCUGAGGGUAAUUGCAGCUUUUGCUCCCUGAAAUUUAAGGGAAUAAUUAAAGUGACUAGGCGCCAACCAUUCUGCCCAGUUGCCGCAGUUUACUGCCCCCAUUUACUCCUCUUGUUUCUUUUUUUUAAAUCUUCUUUCGGCUGCGUCGUCUUCUUCGUUUGCCUUCAUCUUUAGCUCGUUUAUCGCAUAAAUUCCUUCUAUUCAUCGUUUAAUCUCGAGUUUUCACCUACAAAAUAAAAAUAAGAAAAUUAAGUAAUAAAUCGCUAAUAAAACUUGCAAGUAUCUAAGUUUAGUGGUCUGAAUAAGCGUAAUAAACACGCAUUUAUCAAUAGGUCAGCUGCUAAGAUUAGAAUAAAACAUCUUAAAAGGAAAAAUCCAUCUCCAGAAAAUGUGCUCUGGACAUCAGUAAAAGCAGAAUUACG